GUUCCCGUGGUGUAGUGGUUAUCACGUGCGCUUCACACGCGCAAAGCCCCCGGUUCGAUCCCGGGCGAGAACA
rnacentral:tRNA from 1 species